UACGGGGGGGGCAAGCGUUGUUCGGAAUUACUGGGCGUAAAGGGCUUGUAGGUGGCCAACUAAGUCAGACGUGAAAUCCCUCGGCUUAACCGGGGAACUGCGUCUGAUACUGGAUGGCUUGAGUGUGGGAGAGGGAUGCGGAAUUCCAGGUGUAGCGGUGAAAUGCGCAGAUAUCAGGAGGAACACCGGUGGCGAAGGCGGGUCUCUGGGCCGAUACUGACGCUGAGGAGCGAAAGCGUGGGGAGCGAACAGG
rnacentral:rRNA from 1 species